rnacentral:misc_RNA from 1 species
AACGCAUCUUGCGCUCUUUGGUAUUCCAAAGAGCAUGCCUGUUUGAGUGUCAUUAAAUUCUCAACUGUACCAAUCCUGUUGGUGUAGCUUGGAUUUGGGGGACCAUUUGCAGGCCUUUCAAUUGAACAAAGCCAGCUCCUCUGAAAUUGAUUAGUGGUACCUUUGUGGAACCAAAGGCAUGAUAAAUAUCUAUGCCUUAGAUGUCCACAGCAAUAGGUUAUGCUGCUUCUAAUUAACUGAUUAAUGACAAAAUUGACCUCAAAUCAGGUAGGACUACCCGCUGAACUUAA